CACGCCCCCACGCGGUUCCUUCCGCACGACCUCGCGCCCCCGCGCGGUUUCUCCCGCACGACCUCGCGCCCCCGAGUCGUUCGUCCCGCAGCCGGGAGCAGGUCAUCGAGCCGCUGCCGGAGCCGCCCGAGCCGCGCCCCGCAGGUCCCCCAGCUGGCAUUCGCCGUGGCCCGCAGGUCACCGAGCCGCCGCCCCGGAGCCGCCCGAACCGCGCCCCGCAGGUCCUCCAGCCGCCGCCCGGAGCCACCCUUCGCCGUAGGUCGCCGCCGCCGGAGCCGCCCUUCGCCACAGGUCUCCUCCCUUCCGGCUGCCCUGCCCUCCACCGCUCUUAUCUCCUCAUCAAUGUGCAGGGGUUGGCAUCACACUCACCACAUAGAAGAUCGCCAAGUACUUCGUAUACAUCCGCUGUAAAUGAUCACCGUGUUGCGCCAAGAAGUGUCGCCGCCUGGGUUCGCUAGCCGCCGCGUGGAGUCGCCCUGGCCGCCGUCUCGGCUCACCUCCAUCGCCGCCGCGAGUCAUCUCCGCCGCCGCCACCAGGAAUCCCAUCGCCGACAAGGGUGUGAGUCCAGUGACACAUAACAUUCAAUUAUGAGGAUUGAGGAAAUUAUGAUUAUUCAGUCAUUGAGGAUAUGAAAAGAGGCAUAAGGCAACAUGUUCUAUCAAAAAGUUUCGUUUGCAAAGUAGAUAAGCUUUAUUUUGAGCCUCCACCAAUUUAUUGUUCUCCUUGUGUUGCUCGAACAAAACAAAGUGCAUCAUACUAUACUGCUGCUAUUGCUACUGAGAUUUGCCACAAUUUCUGUAUCCUGUGUUAGAAUGAGGCUCGCAGUUGCACGAUUCAGGUGGAAAGGUGGGUUAUGUGUGACAAAUGUGCACGCUGGAAGCAUCAAAUUUGUGCCCUUUUUAAUUUCAAAAGGGGUGAUUCUAAAGAAGCAAAAUGUACUUGCCCUAAAGUGUUGUUCUUGGGGCUAAAGAUCUGCCAAGGGUCGUGCUUAGCAAUCAUAUACAAGAACAACUCUUUAAACCGUUCAGGGAAGAGAGACACGAACAGGCCAUUCAUCAUGGGAAAAGCUUUGAUGAGAGAUGACGAGAUCCACUUUCUUUUGAAAAGGAGAAGGGAGUACAGAGAGAAUCAAAUCAAAGGAAUGUAACCAUCAACUUAUUACAUUUUUUCUUCAAGAACUAACAUUGUUGCUGGAACACACAAAACCUGCAUCGUUUUAGUAGAACAUCCAUUCUUAUUGUCAGCCUCUCACCUGCAGCAGUACAUACAAAUAAAUUCCUACCAGUAGGCAAAAACCAUGUGAAGCCCCUAAUCCUUCGCUGAUAUUUUUCCUAGGCAACUUCACAUGGAACUAGAAUCAAUUAAUAAGAUUCUGGUAUAUUUUCAAUUUUUCUUGCUUUAUGCAUGAACCUAUCACCAAGAUCUCAAUCUCUUAUAUGUGCUUUUGCUGCUGUAGAUUUGUUGGUGUUGAUUUGCAGUAAGAGGAAAUGUACUAUUGUUCUCAUCAAUUUCUUUCAUACCAUGUGUAUGGUUAGUUCUUAAUAUUCAUUAUUCAAAAUACCUGAACUCACUAGGAUUCAUUUAUAAUUAUUUACCUUCAAGCACUAUAUAUUACUGUUGUUUAUUGUCCACCUUGAUCCUUUGCUGAUGUUUUUCCUAGGCAACUUCACAUGGAGUUAGGAUCGCUUAAUAAGAUUCUGGUAUAUUCUGCAAAUUUUCUUGCUUUAUGCAUGAACCUAUCAUCAAUAUUUGGAUCUCUUAUAUGUGCAUGUGCUGUUGUAUAUUGGUCGGUGUUGAUUUGCAAUAAGAGGAAAUGUACUAUUGUUCUCAUCAAUUUAUUUCAUACCAUGUUAUAGAAAUAUGUUGUUUAAAUAUGAAGAGGCGGAUAAGUUUCUGGCAUUAGUAAUUGACUAUCCAGAUCCGGCUUGCUUCUCAGCCAUGGCCUACAUUUAGAAGAAAUAUGUUGUUGGAAUAUGAACAGGUGGAUAGGUUUCUGGCUUUAGUUACUGAAUAUAUCCGGAUCCGGCUUGCUUCUCGGCCAUGGCCUACAUUUAGAAGAUAUAUGUUGUUGAAAUAUGAAGAGGUGGAUAAGUUUCUGGCUUUAGUUACUGAAUAUCCGGUUCUGGCUUGCUUCUCAACCAUGGCCUACAUUUAACAUUUAGAAGAUAUAUGUUAUUGAAAUAUGAAGAGGUGGAUAAGUUUCUAGCUUUAGUUACUGAAUAUCCGGUUGCGGCUUGCUUCUCAACCAUGGCCUACAUUUAGAGAAGACAUGUUCAUAUGUAAGAGAUUUUAGGUCAAUGAUCUCCCCCUGUUGUAAUGCUCAUCAUCUUAAUUCGGACAUUGCUAUAUGUUUGCACCAUGGUUCAUGACUGUACUUUUUUCACACGUCUUUACAAAGUUUGUCAGUAUUAUUAUGCAGAGAUAACCUGUCAUGGUUCUGCGUUGAUGUGUUUUUUCAUUUGUCAAUUUCUUUUGCUUUGAAACAAUGUUGAUUGGCUGAAAGAAUGGUUCCGCGUGUCUUACACGCUUAUACCUACUUGAAUGUUAAAUUUUAUUAGCAAAUCCAUAAAGAACAAUGUCAACAUUUUACGUCUUGCUACAUGAAGCUAUGUACUGCAUGGCACAACAGUGUUAACAUUUCCGGUGCUCAUUGACAAUAAGAUUGAAGAUGUAUUUUCUUGAUUGGAAAUAUUAUACCUCAAAUUUAAUUCAACUGUGGAUACAAUGAUAACUUUAUGCACUGAAUAACAAGUGAUUAUGUGAGUGUAGGAAUUAAGACCGGUGACAACGACAUUUUGAGCGGCACAACAAGUGGUGUUGUGGGGGUACCGAAGCAAGGGCAGUUAGGCAAAUCCAACGGCGUGAACGUCCCAAUGUAUAGCUUGGGAGGGGUCCCAUCGCUGACUGCGAUCGCCCUAUUUGGAGAAGGGGCACGUUGGUUCAUGAAACAAUCAAUACGUCUUUAUGACUCGGAAUUAGGAAUUCUACACACUUUGCAUCAAAUUUGAAUUCCCAAAAGAGUUAUUCAUGUUAUGAUAGAAACAUUUGUUUCAUAGUCAAGACGUGCGUUGCGCGUACAUGUUUACUAGUAUUACAAGCAAGAGUUGAACAACAGCAACCAAA